UGGGGAAUAUUGCACAAUGGGCGCAAGCCUGAUGCAGCCAUGACGCGUGUAUGAAGAAGGCCUUCGGGUUGUAAAGUACUUUCAGCGGGGAGGAAGGUGUUGUGGUUAAUAACCACAGCAAUUGACGUUACCCGCAGAAGAAGCACCGGCUAACUCCGUGCCAGCAGCCGCGGUAAUACGGAGGGUGCAAGCGUUAAUCGGAAUUACUGGGCGUAAAGCGCACGCAGGCGGUCUGUCAAGUCGGAUGUGAAAUCCCCGGGCUCAACCUGGGAACUGCAUCCGAAACUGGCAGGCUUGAGUCUUGUAGAGGGGGGUAGAAUUCCAGGUGUAGCGGUGAAAUGCGUAGAGAUCUGGAGGAAUACCGGUGGCGAAGGCGGCCCCCUGGACAAAGACUGACGCUCAGGUGCGAAAGCGUGGGGAGCAAACA
rnacentral:rRNA from 1 species